UUAAGCGACUAAGCGUACACGGUGGAUGCCCUGGCAGUCAGAGGCGAUGAAGGACGUGCUAAUCUGCGAAAAGCGUCGGUAAGGUGAUAUGAACCGUUAUAGCCGGCGAUGUCCGAAUGGGGAAACCCAGUGCAAUUCGUUGCACUAUCGUUAACUGAAUACAUAGGUUAACGAGGCGAACCGGGGGAACUGAAACAUCUAAGUACCCCGAGGAAAAGAAAUCAACCGAGAUUCCCCCAGUAGCGGCGAGCGAACGGGGAGCAGCCCAGAGUCUGAAUCAGCUUGUGUGUUAGUGGAACGGUCUGGAAAGUCCGACGGUACAGGGUGAUAGUCCCGUACACCAAAAUGCACAGGCUGUGAACUCGAAGAGUAGGGCGGGACACGUGGUAUCCUGUCUGAAUAUGGGGGGACCAUCCUCCAAGGCUAAAUACUCCUGACUGACCGAUAGUGAACCAGUACCGUGAGGGAAAGGCGAAAAGAACCCCGGCGAGGGGAGUGAAAAAGAACCUGAAACCGUGUACGUACAAGCAGUGGGAGCACCUUCGGGUGUGACUGCGUACCUUUUGUAUAAUGGGUCAGCGACUUAUAUUCUGUAGCAAGGUUAACCGUAUAGGGGAGCCGCAGGGAAACCGAGUCUUAACUGGGCGUUAAGUUGCAGGGUAUAGACCCGAAACCCGGUGAUCUAGCCAUGGGCAGGUUGAAGGUUGGGUAACACUAACUGGAGGACCGAACCGACUAAUGUUGAAAAAUUAGCGGAUGACUUGUGGCUGGGGGUGAAAGGCCAAUCAAACCGGGAGAUAGCUGGUUCUCCCCGAAAGCUAUUUAGGUAGCGCCUCGUGAAUUCAUCUUCGGGGGUAGAGCACUGUUUCGGCUAGGGGGUCAUCCCGACUUACCAACCCGAUGCAAACUACGAAUACCGAAGAAUGUUAUCACGGGAGACACACGGCGGGUGCUAACGUCCGUCGUGAAGAGGGAAACAACCCAGACCGCCAGCUAAGGUCCCAAAGUCAUGGUUAAGUGGGAAACGAUGUGGGAAGGCACAGACAGCCAGGAUGUUGGCUUAGAAGCAGCCAUCAUUUAAAGAAAGCGUAAUAGCUCACUGGUCGAGUCGGCCUGCGCGGAAGAUGUAACGGGGCUAAACCAUGCACCGAAGCUGCGGCAGCGACACUAUGUGUUGUUGGGUAGGGGAGCGUUCUGUAAGCCUGCGAAGGUGUGCUGUGAGGCAUGCUGGAGGUAUCAGAAGUGCGAAUGCUGACAUAAGUAACGAUAAAGCGGGUGAAAAGCCCGCUCGCCGGAAGACCAAGGGUUCCUGUCCAACGUUAAUCGGGGCAGGGUGAGUCGACCCCUAAGGCGAGGCCGAAAGGCGUAGUCGAUGGGAAACAGGUUAAUAUUCCUGUACUUGGUGUUACUGCGAAGGGGGGACGGAGAAGGCUAUGUUAGCCGGGCGACGGUUGUCCCGGUUUAAGCAUGUAGGCUGGUUGUCCAGGCAAAUCCGGAUAAUCAAGGCUGAGGUGUGAUGACGAGGCACUACGGUGCUGAAGUAACAAAUGCCCUGCUUCCAGGAAAAGCCUCUAAGCAUCAGGUAACAUCAAAUCGUACCCCAAACCGACACAGGUGGUCAGGUAGAGAAUACCAAGGCGCUUGAGAGAACUCGGGUGAAGGAACUAGGCAAAAUGGUGCCGUAACUUCGGGAGAAGGCACGCUGGUGUGUAGGUGAAGUCCCUGCGGAUGGAGCUGAGACCAGUCGAAGAUACCAGCUGGCUGCAACUGUUUAUUAAAAACACAGCACUGUGCAAACACGAAAGUGGACGUAUACGGUGUGACGCCUGCCCGGUGCCGGAAGGUUAAUUGAUGGGGUUAUCCGUAAGGAGAAGCUCUUGAUCGAAGCCCCGGUAAACGGCGGCCGUAACUAUAACGGUCCUAAGGUAGCGAAAUUCCUUGUCGGGUAAGUUCCGACCUGCACGAAUGGCGUAAUGAUGGCCAGGCUGUCUCCACCCGAGACUCAGUGAAAUUGAACUCGCUGUGAAGAUGCAGUGUACCCGCGGCAAGACGGAAAGACCCCGUGAACCUUUACUAUAGCUUGACACUGAACAUUGAGCCUUGAUGUGUAGGAUAGGUGGGAGGCUUUGAAGCGUGGACGCCAGUCUGCGUGGAGCCAACCUUGAAAUACCACCCUUUAAUGUUUGAUGUUCUAACGUUGGCCCCUGACCGGGGUUGCGGACAGUGUCUGGUGGGUAGUUUGACUGGGGCGGUCUCCUCCCAAAGCGUAACGGAGGAGCACGAAGGUUAGCUAAUCCUGGUCGGACAUCAGGAGGUUAGUGCAAUGGCAUAAGCUAGCUUGACUGCGAGCGUGACGGCGCGAGCAGGUGCGAAAGCAGGUCAUAGUGAUCCGGUGGUUCUGAAUGGAAGGGCCAUCGCUCAACGGAUAAAAGGUACUCCGGGGAUAACAGGCUGAUACCGCCCAAGAGUUCAUAUCGACGGCGGUGUUUGGCACCUCGAUGUCGGCUCAUCACAUCCUGGGGCUGAAGUAGGUCCCAAGGGUAUGGCUGUUCGCCAUUUAAAGUGGUACGCGAGCUGGGUUUAGAACGUCGUGAGACAGUUCGGUCCCUAUCUGCCGUGGGCGCUGGAGAAUUGAGGGGGGCUGCUCCUAGUACGAGAGGACCGGAGUGGACGCAUCACUGGUGUUCGGGUUGUCAUGCCAAUGGCACUGCCCGGUAGCUAAAUGCGGAAGAGAUAAGUGCUGAAAGCAUCUAAGCACGAAACUUGCCCCGAGAUGAGUUCUCCCUGAGACUUUAAGUCUCCUGAAGGAACGUUGAAGACGACGACGUUGAUAGGCCGGGUGUGUAAGCGCAGCGAUGCGUUGAGCUAACCGGUACUAAUGAACCGUGAGGCUUAACCUU
rnacentral:rRNA from 1 species